rnacentral:rRNA from 1 species
AUUGAACGCUGGCGGCAGGCCUAACACAUGCAAGUCGAACGGUAACAGGAAGCAGCUUGCUGCUUCGCUGACGAGUGGCGGACGGGUGAGUAAUGUCUGGGAAGCUGCCUGAUGGAGGGGGAUAACUACUGGAAACGGUAGCUAAUACCGCAUAAUGUCGCAAGACCAAAGAGGGGGACCUUCGGGCCUCUUGCCAUCGGAUGUGCCCAGAUGGGAUUAGCUUGUUGGUGGGGUAACGGCUCACCAAGGCGACGAUCCCUAGCUGGUCUGAGAGGAUGACCAGCCACACUGGAACUGAGACACGGUCCCGACUCCUACGGGAGGCAGCAGUGGGGAAUAUUGCACAAUGGGCGCAAGCCUGAUGCAGCCAUGCCGCGUGUAUGAAGAAGGCCUUCGGGUUGUAAAGUACUUUCAGCGGGGAGGAAGGGAGUAAAGUUAAUACCUUUGCUCAUUGACGUUACCCGCAGAAGAAGCACCGGCUAACUCCGUG